rnacentral:rRNA from 1 species
CCUACGGGAGGCAGCAGGGAGGAAUAUUGGUCAAUGGGCGCGAGCCUGAACCAGCCAAGUAGCGUGAAGGAUGACUGCCAUACGGGUUGUAAACUGCUGUUAUAAAGGAAUAAAGUGAGGCACGUGUGCCUUUUUGUAUGUACUUUAUGAAUAAGGAUCGGCUAACUCCGUGCCAGCAGCCGCGGUAAUACGGAGGAUCCGAGCGUUAGCCGGAUUUAUUGGGGUUAAAGGGAGCGUAGAUGGGUUGUUAAGUCAGUUGUGAAAGUUUGCGGCUCAACCGUAAAAUUGCAAUUCAUACUGGCAGCCUUGAGUACAGUUGAGGUAGGCGGAAUUCGUGGUGUAGCGG